rnacentral:rRNA from 1 species
GAUGAACGCUGGCGGCGUGCCUAAUACAUGCAAGUCGAGCGAACGGAUGAGACGCUUGCUUCUCUGAUGUUAGCGGCGGACGGGUGAGUAACACGUGGAUAACCUACCUAUAAGACUGGGAUAACUUCGGGAAACCGGAGCUAAUACCGGAUAAUAUUUUGAACCGCAUGGUUCAAAAGUGAAAGACGGUCUUGCUGUCACUUAUAGAUGGAUCCGCGCUGCAUUAGCUAGUUGGUAAGGUAACGGCUUACCAAGGCAACGAUGCAUAGCCGACCUGAGAGGGUGAUAGGCCACACGGGAACGGAGACACGGUCCAGACUCCUACGGGAGGCAGCAGUAGGGAAUCUUCCGCAAUGGGCGAAAGCCUGACGGAGCAACGCCGCGUGAGUGAGGAAGGUCUUCGGAUCGUAAAACUCUGUUAUUAGGGAAGAACAUAUGUGUAAGUAACUGUGCACAUCUUGACGGUACCUAAUCAGAAAGCCACGGCUAACUACGUG